AGCGGGUUACUCAGCCAAGGAUGACUUGCCUACAUGAUCUGACGUACUGAUUAUUAGGAUGACAAUUAAUUAUCGGGAUGCCAAUUAAUUGAGUGUUAUGUUGUUUUCCAUUCAGUUGAGUUCGUUUGUGGGCAAGUCAUCUUUAGGCGCAGCAUCCCGCUCU
rnacentral:pre_miRNA from 1 species